UAGAUAAAACCAACAAUUUCAUUUAUAAUUGUAAUUUGUCUCCAAUAUGAGGUUUUGAUUGAUGAUAUUAUAAGCAAAAGCAUUCGUCGUGCUAUAGUGACCCUCACCGAAAGAUCUCAUGUGAUUAGCUUGGCUUUUGAUUUGAGCACGGUCAGCUCAUAAUCUUACGACCCGUUAAAGGUUUGCAAUCCGGCAAGCAAUGAUAAAUAAAACAUCAACAAAGUUUUUUUUAUCUAAAUUGACAGAUAACAUAACUCAAGAAACUGAUGAAAUAGAAAGUAGGAAGGAUCGGAAGAGGCAUAGUAUACUGAGGAGAAUAAUAAGUUUGAGUUUCAAAAUCGGAAAGUAGGUUUUGAUGCGUACACGUUGUCACCGUGACAGUGGUGAGCGGCGAAUAUAUAGUGACAGAGGAGAAUCUGAAGCGAAGGGCAUGGAGCUGUUACUGUGUUUGAAUGAUGAAUAAUUGAAAGAGGAGUGGGGAAUAAGGACAUUCGAACUUGAACUUUUGCUUGCAGUAAAUUUUUUUUUUUCUAAUUUGUUUUUGUUUUCCUACAAACCACUCCAAUUAUGAACCCGGACAUAACUGAAAUCAAUGGUAAUCUUAACCGAAAUAGAAACAGAACCUAACUAAAAUUAAACGGGAGCUAACCGAAGACCAGAAACCCUAAAGAGCAAACGAAGAAGCCGUCGUGUAGGGAUAGUCGCCAAAAGAAACCUUCAGUGGCAUAGGACCACCACCAAGAGGCGAGGUGACGCGAGACUCGAGCAUCCACCUUCAGAGACAGACCGGAGCAGACCAGAAAAGCUCUACCACAGACAUAGAGACGCACGACAAAACCACCGAAACAUCUGACAGAGAGAGAGAGCCGAGCAAAACUACAUCGGCGAGAAGGAGGCGGAAAAGAAAGAGAAAAAAACUUGACUUGGUAAACUAUUUUAGACCACCUCCAACGGGAGGUGUUAAAAAGGAGUUCUUAGAAAAAAACAAAAAAAAUAAAUGAAAAAAGAGAUAAUGGCAGAGAAUCGCUGCCUAAAACAAAGUUUUUGGAAUCUCUAAAAACCUCAUACGUGGUUCUUUAUUGUUGGCUAAUUCUUUUUCUGCUUCUCUCUCUUUCUCUUUGUCGUUGUUCUUCUUUUUUUUUGUCUGAGAAAUCUGUCUGAGAAAUCGAUGUUGGUAGAUUAAGUUGUGGGAGUAUCCAAAUCGUUCUGUUUGAAAAAAAGAAUUGUUUGUGUCGGUGGGAAGGAUUUCGCCGCAUUUACUUGAAGGAGUCCCGGAUGUGCUUACAAAGGAACUGUUUUUGGCAUCUGGUGAAGGUCCUGGCCUCACUAAUGUCAACCCAUUGAUAAGAUCAGUGCAAGAGCUGAGAGGUACAGACAUGCGAAAUCUGCAGAGACGAGGUCGAAUUGACCGUUAAUGGAGAACCAUUCGUGGUGUGUAACGAAUGUGCCUUCCCUGUUUGUAGACCUUGCUAUGAGUACGAAAGAAGAGAAGGCAAUCAAGCUUGUCCUUAGUGCAAGACCCAUUACAAAAGGCUUAAAGGAAGUCCAAGGGUUGAGAAUGAUGAAGAGGAAGAUAACAUUGAUGAUAUAGACAAUGAGUUUGAUUACAUGAACAAUGGUGGGAACAUGAACAAUGGUGGGAUUGGAUUUGAUCAGGUUUCUUCAAUUUCGUGGUCCUGUGAUUGCUCUAACAGUAGAUUGGUCUUGUGAGGAAUGCUGCCUGUCGACUGUUUUCGGUUUGGUGAUGAGGUACUUGAGGAGGGAACAGCUGAGUCUGCGUUUGCUAGCUUUCUUCUUAUCUCAACCUAUCAACGGCGUCUUUGCAGAUCAUUGCGUGAGGUUUAUUAAGGUAAUUAACUAAGUUAAUAGCAUGUUGAUAUAAAGUUAGGAUCUUUAUUGUUUAUGUUGGUAGUGUUGAUACUUCUUAUGUGGAAGAAGAACCAUUACUACCUUUUUAUACUCUCUCAGAAGAAUACUUUGUAGAAUCACACUUGAGAAAGUCUUUAAACUCAAACGAGAGUUUUUUGAAUUCUUCAGAGGUUCCUAGGUUAGCUUAUCUGAUCUCAGGUACUAAAGGAGAUAGCCACAGGAUGAUGAGGACUUUGCAAGCUGUGUACCAUCCAAGAAACCAAUAUGUUCUCCAUUUAGACCUCGAAGCUCCACCUAAGGAGAGGCUGGAGCUUGCAAUGUCUGUGAAGAGUGAUCCUACUUUCCGUGAAGUUACAAACGUCCGUGUUAUGUCACAGUCUAAUCUCGUUACCUAUAAAGGCCCUACAAUGAUCGCUUGUACGCUUCAAGCUGUGGCGGUUUUGCUUAAGGAGAGCUUGGAUUGGGAUUGGUUCAUCAACCUUAGUGCAUCAGAUUAUUAGACUAUCCUAUCCUCUCCUGACACAAGAUGAUUUGUUGUAUGUCUUCUCCAACUUGUCUCGGAAUGUUAACUUCAUUGAACAUACGAAGCGCACCGGAAUGUUAAAUUCAUGAUAUAAAUUUGUAUUUCUAUUUUUCAUAUGUUUUUAUGUCAUAUUUGUUUAAAUGUUAUGAAAUCCAAUAAUUUAUAAGUUUUGUAAUAUUUAAAUUUAAUAAUUCAAUUUUAAAAAAAAAUUAAGAACCUCAUAGGGGUUCUCCCA